AACGCGAAGAACCUUACCAGGGCUUGACAUGCACGGAAAUCCUCCAGAGAUGGGGGGUCCGCAAGGGUCGUGCACAGGUGGUGCAUGGUUGUCGUCAGCUCGUGUCGUGAGAUGUUGGGUUAAGUCCCGCAACGAGCGCAACCCUCGUCCGAUGUUGCCAGCAGGCCCGCAAGGGUGCUGGGGACUCAUCGGAGACCGCCGGGGUCAACUCGGAGGAAGGUGGGGACGACGUCAAAUCAUCAUGCCCCUUAUGUCCUGGGCUGCACACAUGCUACAAUGGCCGGUACAAAGGGCAGCCAAGCCGUGAGGCGGAGCGAAUCCCAAAAAGCCGGUCUCAGUUCGGAUCGGGGUCUGCAACUCGACCCCGUGAAGUCGGAGUCGCUAGUAAUCGCAGAUCAGCAACGCUGCGGUGAAUACGUUCCCGGGCCUUGUACACACCGUAGUAC
rnacentral:rRNA from 1 species